CAGGCGUUCGGCAUAAGGCUGGCUCCAUAAGCAUCCAGCAAAGGAGAAGAGAAUCAGUUGGGGAACACAGCGAGAUGCAGAAAGGAUGGAAAGUGGUCAUGGAACGUCCUCUAGCCUUGGAGAGAGACAGUCCUGCUUCGCCCCUACAUCCAGAGAAUUUGACGUCAAUCACUGCACCACCAUCUUGCUUCCUGCUCUGCACUCUAAUCCAUUGCCUGGCCACACAUCUCCUCCCCAGUCACUUGGGAGCCUAGUCUGUUCCAGACAGCUCCCUCCCUGCACAUCACGAUUCUCCUGAGGACCAACAACUAAGAAGACCAUUCGCAGCAGCUGUUCCCACCACAGUGACAUCUCCACCCGGCGGGCUUCCCGGGUUAGAGCUUCAUCCAGUGCUGCUGGAUUGCAAUGGACACCACACAGCUACGUUAGAUCUCAUUUCUAACCCUUCUACAGUCCUGCAAGGGAGGUUCAUUCAAGCCAUGGCAAGCAUGUGGAGGUGGAUUGCUCUCCCACCAUGGGGGACCCUGGGGAUUGAACUUGGAACAGCAGGCUUGACAGACCUUUACCACUGCGUCGUCUCACCAGUCCAAUACCUCACAUUUUAAAUGUCACAUCUAAGUGCAUACUAUGUUUAAAAGCUUAAUUCUGACAAUUCAGGUUUGGGCGUUUUAUUACACUAUUUUUUUAAGUUUGUUAUUGUUGUUACUGCUGCUGCUGUCCGGCACUGUUUCUGACUCCUCCUCUUUGAUUUUAUGAAAUAGAAUCCAGAAGAUAAUUUCCCUUACCACUGAAAGUUUGGACUCAGGCACAGCUGGAUCCAGGGGCUCACUGAGCCUCAGUGAAUGAAACUGGAAUAGGCUGCUAGAAAAUGCCCCCGCCCCUUUCAUGAUUGACACAGACAUCAUCA
rnacentral:lncRNA from 1 species